UUCAGUGUUCGUGUUCGUUCGUUCGUUGUCGUUCAGUUAUUUUAUAUGGUCGGUUAUGUGAUGUGUUUGUGUCACCAUAAAAAGCUAAUAUUCAGUCGUGUUUUUUGAUAUUUUGUAAUCGAGUACCUUUUUAAAGGUCUAAUGGCUCCGUUCAGCUGUUGUGUGCAGACGGUGGAAAAGUUCAACAAGUAAACAUUUAUUUAAUCCAAAUUAAAUACUCAUAUUUCUAUGUAAAAUGUCACAUUAUUUUAUAAAUAAAUAAGUAAGAAACAAAAGUUGUUUGUGUUUUACCUUUAUUGUCCAAUUGAAUAAAAUAUUACAUAUUGGAAGUACCGUAUGGAGGCUAUGUACCUAGCAUGGAGGCUAGAUUAUGGCACCCUUCCUAUCCAAUCAACAACAAGAGCGUUUAAAAUUUCACAC